CCCCGGUAAACGGCGGCCGUAACUAUAACGGUCCUAAGGUAGCGAAAUUCCUUGUCGGGUAAGUUCCGACCUGCACGAAUGGCGUAAUGAUGGCCAGGCUGUCUCCACCCGAGACUCAGUGAAAUUGAACUCGCUGUGAAGAUGCAGUGUACCCGCGGCAAGACGGAAAGACCCCGUGAACCUUUACUAUAGCUUGACACUGAACAUUGAGCCUUGAUGUGUAGGAUAGGUGGGAGGCUUUGAAGUGUGGACGCCAGUCUGCAUGGAGCCGACCUUGAAAUACCACCCUUUAAUGUUUGAUGUUCUAACGUGGACCCGUAAUCCGGGUUGCGGACAGUGUCUGGUGGGUAGUUUGACUGGGGCGGUCUCCUCCUAAAGAGUAACGGAGGAGCACGAAGGUUGGCUAAUCCUGGUCGGACAUCAGGAGGUUAGUGCAAUGGCAUAAGCCAGCUUGACUGCGAGCGUGACGGCGCGAGCAGGUGCGAAAGCAGGUCAUAGUGAUCCGGUGGUUCUGAAUGGAAGGGCCAUCGCUCAACGGAUAAAAGGUACUCCGGGGAUAACAGGCUGAUACCGCCCAAGAGUUCAUAUCGACGGCGGUGUUUGGCACCUCGAUGUCGGCUCAUCACAUCCUGGGGCUGAAGUAGGUCCCAAGGGUAUGGCUGUUCGCCAUUUAAAGUGGUACGCGAGCUGGGUUUAGAACGUCGUGAGACAGUUCGGUCCCUAUCUGCCGUGGGCGCUGGAGAACUGAGGGGGGCUGCUCCUAGUACGAGAGGACCGGAGUGGACGCAUCACUGGUGUUCGGGUUGUCAUGCCAAUGGCACUGCCCGGUAGCUAAAUGCGGAAGAGAUAAGUGCUGAAAGCAUCUAAGCACGAAACUUGCCCCGAGAUGAGUUCUCCCUGAGACUUAGAGUCUCCUGAAGGAACGUUGAAGACGACGACGUUGAUAGGCCGGGUGUGUAAGCGCAGCGAUGCGUUGAGCUAACCGGUACUAAUGAACCGUGAGGCUU
rnacentral:rRNA from 3 species